rnacentral:rRNA from 1 species
GACGAACGCUGGCGGCGUGCUUAACACAUGCAAGUCGAACGGAAAGGCCCUGCUUUUGUGGGGUGCUCGAGUGGCGAACGGGUGAGUAACACGUGAGUAACCUGCCCUUGACUUUGGGAUAACUUCAGGAAACUGGGGCUAAUACCGGAUAGGAGCUCCUGCUGCAUGGUGGGGGUUGGAAAGUUUCGGCGGUUGGGGAUGGACUCGCGGCUUAUCAGCUUGUUGGUGGGGUAGUGGCUUACCAAGGCUUUGACGGGUAGCCGGCCUGAGAGGGUGACCGGCCACAUUGGGACUGAGAUACGGCCCAGACUCCUACGGGAGGCAGCAGUGGGGAAUAUUGCACAAUGGGCGGAAGCCUGAUGCAGCAACGCCGCGUGCGGGAUGACGGCCUUCGGGUUGUAAACCGCUUUCGCCUGUGACGAAGCGUGAGUGACGGUAAUGGGUAAAGAAGCACCGGCUAACUACGUGCCAGCAGCCGCGGUGAUACGUAGGGUGCGAGCGUUGUCCGGAUUUAUUGGGCGUAAAGGGCUCGUAGGUGGUUGAUCGCGUCGGAAGUGUAAUCUUGGGGCUUAACCCUGAGCGUGCUUUCGAUACGGGUUGACUUGAGGAAGGUAGGGGAGAAUGGAAUUCCUGGUGGAGCGGUGGAAUGCGCAGAUAUCAGGAGGAACACCAGUGGCGAAGGCGGUUCUCUGGGCCUUUCCUGACGCUGAGGAGCGAAAGCGUGGGGAGCGAACAGGCUUAGAUACCCUGGUAGUCCACGCUGUAAACGGUGGGUACUAGGUGUGGGGUCCAUUCCACGGGUUCCGUGCCGUAGCUAACGCUUUAAGUACCCCGCCUGGGGAGUACGGCCGCAAGGCUAAAACUCAAAGGAAUUGACGGGGCCCCGCACAAGCGGCGGAGCAUGCGGAUUAAUUCGAUGCAACGCGUAGAACCUUACCUGGGUUUGACAUGGAUCGGGAGUGCUCAGAGAUGGGUGUGCCUCUUUUGGGGUCGGUUCACAGGUGGUGCAUGGCUGUCGUCAGCUCGUGUCGUGAGAUGUUGGGUUAAGUCCCGCAACGAGCGCAACCCUUGUUCACUGUUGCCAGCACGUUAUGGUGGGGACUCAGUGGAGACCGCCGGGGUCAACUCGGAGGAAGGUGGGGAUGACGUCAAGUCAUCAUGCCCCUUAUGUCCAGGGCUUCACGCAUGCUACAAUGGCUGGUACAGAGAGUGGCGAGCCUGUGAGGGUGAGCGAAUCUCGGAAAGCCGGUCUCAGUUCGGAUUGGGGUCUGCAACUCGACCUCAUGAAGUCGGAGUCGCUAGUAAUCGCAGAUCAGCAACGCUGCGGUGAAUACGUUCCCGGGGCUUGUACACACCGCCCGUCAAGUCAUGAAAGUUGGUAACACCCGAAGCCGGUGGCCUAACCGUUGUGGGGGAGCCGUCGAAGGUGGGACUGGUGAUUAGGACUA